GACAGAGGGGGCAAGCGUUGCUCGGAAUCACUGGGCGUAAAGGGCGCGUAGGCGGGAUGGCAAGUCGGUCGUGAAAUCCUUCGGCUCAACCGAAGAGCGUCGGCCGAUACUGCCGUUCUUGAGGGAUGCAGAGGAGAUUGGAAUUCCCGGUGUAGCGGUGAAAUGUGUAGAGAUCGGGAGGAACACCGGUGGCGAAGGCGGGUCUCUGGGCAUCUCCUGACGCUGAGGCGCGAAAGCGUGGGGAGCAAACGGG
rnacentral:rRNA from 1 species